rnacentral:rRNA from 1 species
UACGUAGGGUGCAAGCGUUGUCCGGAAUUAUUGGGCGUAAAGAGCUCGUAGGCGGUCUGUUGCGUCGGCUGUGAAAACCCGAGGCUCAACCUCGGGCCUGCAGCCGAUACGGGCAGACUAGAGUUCGGCAGGGGAGACUGGAAUUCCUGGUGUAGCGGUGAAAUGCGCAGAUAUCAGGAGGAACACCGGUGGCGAAGGCGGGUCUCUGGGCCGUAACUGACGCUGAGGCGCGAAAGCCAGGGGAGCGAACGGG